rnacentral:misc_RNA from 1 species
UUUCCGUAGGUGAACCUGCGGAAGGAUCAUUAAAGAGUAAGGGUCUUCGGGCCCGAUCUCCAACCCUUUGUUUAACUACCAUGUUGCUUUGGCGGGCCCGUCUCACGACCGCCGGAAGUUUGGCUUCGACCAAACUUCUGGCCCGUGCCCGUCAGUGGCCCCUUCAAAUUCUUGAUCAAGUAUGAUGUCUUAGUUAAAAACUUAAUAGUUAAAACUUUCAACAAUGGAUCUCUUGGUUCUG